GAUGAACGCUGGCGGCGUGCCUAAUACAUGCAAGUCGAGCGAACAGACGAGGAGCUUGCUCCUCUGACGUUAGCGGCGGACGGGUGAGUAACACGUGGAUAACCUACCUAUAAGACUGGGAUAACUUCGGGAAACCGGAGCUAAUACCGGAUAAUAUAUUGAACCGCAUGGUUCCAUAGUGAAAGACGGUUUUGCUGUCACUUUUAGAUUGAUCCGCGCCGCAUUAGCUAGUUGGUAAGGUAACGGCUUACCAAGGCAACGAUUCGUAGCCGACCUGAGAGGGUGAUCGGCCACACUGGAACUGAGACACGGUCCAGAAUCCUACGGGAGGAAGCAGUAGGGAAUCUUGCGCAAUGGGCGAAAGCCUGACGGAGCAAAGCCGCGUGAGUGAAGAAGGUCUUCGGAUCGUAAAACUCUGUUAUUAGGGAAGAAAAAAUGGGUAAGUAAAUAUGCACGUCAUGACGGUACCUAAGCAGAAAGCCACGGCUAACUACGUG
rnacentral:rRNA from 1 species